UACGUAGGGUGCGAGCGUUGUCCGGAAUUACUGGGCGUAAAGAGCUCGUAGGCGGUGUGUCGCGUCGGCCGUGAAAACCUGGGGCUUAACUCUGGGCGUGCGGUCGAUACGGGCAUCACUAGAGUUCGGCAGGGGAGACUGGAAUUCCUGGUGUAGCGGUGAAAUGCGCAGAUAUCAGGAGGAACACCGGUGGCGAAGGCGGGUCUCUGGGCCGAUACUGACGCUGAGGAGCGAAAGCAUGGGUAGCGAACAGG
rnacentral:rRNA from 1 species